AACGAACGCUGGCGGCAUGCCUAACACAUGCAAGUCGAACGAUCCCGUCGGGGAUGGUGGCUCACGGGUGCGUAACGCGUGGGGACCUGCCCUUAGGUUCGGAAUCACUCAGAGAAAUUUGAGCUAAUACCGGGUAAUGUCUUCGGACCAACGGUUUUUCGCCCUUGGAUGGGCCCGCGUUGGAUUAGCUAGUUGGUAGGGUCAAGGCAUACCAAGGCGACGUUGCAUAGCUGUUCGGAGAGGAUGACAAGCCACACUGGAACUGAGACACGGCCCCGACUCGGACGGGAGGCAGCAGUGGGGAAUAUUGGAGGAGGGGCGCUAGUCUGAUGACGCAAUGCGGGGUAAGUGAUCAAGGCGUUAGGGUUGCACAGCCCUCUUAGACGGGAUGAUAAUGACGGUACCGGGAGAAUAAGCACCGGCUAACUACGUG
rnacentral:rRNA from 1 species